UGAGGAAUAUUGGUCAAUGGACGAGAGUCUGAACCAGCCAAAUCGCGUGAAGGAAGACUGCCCUACGGGUUGUAAACUUCUUUUGUACAGGAAUAAAAUACAUUACGUGUAAUGUAUUGCAUGUACUGUACGAAUAAGCAUCGGCUAACCCCGUGCCAGCAGCCGCGGUAAUACGGAGGAUGCGAGCGUUAUCCGGAUUUAUUGGGUUUAAAGGGUGCGCAGGCGGGAUUUUAAGUCAGCGGUGAAAUUUUCAGGCUCAACCUGAACACUGCCGUUGAAACUGGGAUGCUUGAGUAUGGAUGAGGUGGGCGGAAUGCGUUGUGUAGCGGUGAGAUGCUUAGAUAUAACGAGGAGCUCCGAUUGCGUAGGCAGCUUACUAAGCCAAGACUGACGCGCAAGCACGAAGGCGUGGGGAGCAAACA
rnacentral:rRNA from 1 species